UGUCUGUUGACCUGUUGACCAACUAAAGAAAUACGUGGGUGCUGUUCAAUCGUUGAAAAGAAAUGACAUUAUGGAAGAAGCUCCAGAAAAUGAAAGACUUUCUUCCAUCAUUCUUUCUCCGGAAUCUGACGUCGACGAAGUGAGAAAGGAAAAAAACAAAGAUUUUGAGCGGAAGUUGAUCCAAGUCGCUGAUAUGCAUGGCGAACUUAUUGAACGCUCGUGAAUAUCAGCUAAGAAAAUUAAAAGAAGAGCUUGUCAAUCUUAGAGGACCGCUUCCUCAGGACAAUAAUCAUGAUGAAUGUUUAUAUUUGACGGAGUUUGGUCCAAAUUUCAUGUCUGUCAAUACUCGUCCUUUAAUUAACAUUUGGAUUCCAUCUGUU